AUGGUGGGGUUGGGGGCGGGAAGAGUUAUAGAGCUCCUUCUGGGAUCUGUAAGUCCCCAGAUAUCGGAUCUGUAAGUCCCCAGAUAUCGGAAGAGUUAUAGAUAGCGGGAAGAGUUAUAGAGCUCCUUCUGGGAUCUGUAAGUCCCCAGAUAUCGGAAGGGACACCAGCCUUUACAGUAAAGACAGCCAGAUUCCAGCUUUCGUAUGAAGCUACCAGCUGCCUUGGAAAGGACCCACAGAUAAGAGCCAGGUGCUGUCUGCAUCCUUCCAACUCAUGGUGACUUUGGGAAUGGCCGUCCAGAGGCUUAGGAGUGGAGAUGCUGCUGUCAGGCACGGAGGAUACAAUUAGCCUUACUUUCUACAUGGGGAGACUGAGACUCGGAUGAGAAAAGUCAGUCUUUCAAGUCACACAUUUCAUCGCCGGCGGAGUCUGGGGCAUGAGUUCCUAUCUCCUGAUUCCCAGGUACAUGCUGUUUUUGCUAGACUCAAAGUAUUAAAGAAUCCAGACUCUUUGGAAGUAAUGAGGGAUUCCAGAAAUAGCCUUAGCAGUGCUUAACAAUUUGAAAGACCAAAGGCACUGAGGCCAAAGAAGAUUGAGACAGGAUGGAAGUACUCUCUUGUUCAGUCAGCUGGAUGACUAAAAGGAAAUCCCUAAGAAUAUUGUCCUAUUGCCCCACGAUCUAGUACUGGGUGAGCCUAUGCGUUCACGAGACAGAAAGCAGGAUAAUUGAGGCCCUGCAUCUCUUGGUCAAACAGAAUUUUCAGUGAAGCAAUUGACUGCCAGAGCCAGCAAGCUCUACUCAAGAAUCUAAUUUUUUAUCCUUCCUCCUCUGUAACUCAAGAUUGGAUCACCAUCACAUCCUACAAGUGGCAGUGAUUAUCGAAGAAAUGAUGUGUGUAUUUCUCUCUUCCUGUAAAAAACGAACCUGAUGGGAGCCCUUAGACUGGAUAAAUUCUGCAUGAUGACUGUCUUAACCAAUUCUUACUGAGGGUUAGGGAUUUGGGGAAGGCAAAUGCUUCAUCAUUAGAAAUGACACUUUGGGGGCACCUGGCUGGCUCAGUUAGUAAAGCAUGCGACUCUUGAUCUCAGGGUUCUGAGUUUGAGCCCUACGUUGGAUGUAGAGAUUACUUAAAAAUAAAAUCUUAAAAAAAUAAAAAGAAAUGAAACCUUGAAAGCCACCUAGCAUCAUGUUACCUGUCUGAGACUUAAUCUUCUGGGGCCCACCUGAGAUUCAGAAAAUAGAGAAUCCAAGUUAGCAGUCACGGUCAGGCACAUCCUAUACAAUUUGGGGCGACUGAUGGAGGGACAAAUAACCCUGCCCAACUGGUCAAGGCCUCAAGCCUUUGGUAAGUAACUUCUGGUUCUCCUAGCGUGGACUCCGAAUGAGUGAAUGAUUUUAAAUAUGGACAUGGUUAAGAUAAAGAAAAACUUUUGCUGCUUAAAGAACUUGCCUUCAACUCUGGAAAACUUAGCUAUCCAGCAAUUAUUCAUUUCCUGACCAUUCUGGUAACCCAGGUUUUAUUCUAUUGAGCUUUUGGAAAAAAACUUUUGUUUCACCAGCAGAGAAAAGUCUGGACCACAUGAACUAGUCUCACCUGGCAUGACAUUUCUCCUGUGCCUUCAACAAUUUCACAGCAUAUUGAUUCUUCAUUUCUUUCUCAGACAUCAGUUAAUUAGCUAACCUGGGUUUUGAUUCACACGUAUUAAACACCAUCUUUUUUGAGCACACAAAACCCCUCUUAUGUGACAUAAAUGGCAUUAUGUCCAAAAGAAUAGUGUUAGAUUGUCUUUUACCCUGGAAGAAAAGGAGGUAAUUAAUUUGAUAUAUAUUUUUUCACUGGCGAAUGUUAAUGCCAUUUCACUGCAGAAGGAAAGGUGAAUGGCUGUGCCCAGUCACUGCUCCUGGUUUUUGUGGCUCUGACAUUAUAUGAAAGGAGUUUGGGGGAAAUGGAAUGGAAUAGAAGGGCCUCAGUUGAAUAUGUGGAUAAGUAGUGUUCUUAAUACUUCAACAAAAUCUAAGAGAGUUUGCAAUUCAUAUAGCUUCUCUGAAAGGCUGCCAAGAGGGAUAUUUUCAAUAGAUUGGUGGAAUGAGGAAUUAAAUGUAGAUUAUUCUGGAAAAGAUUGGAAUUUAAUAUAACAUUUGAACAGGUUAAAUUUAUAUCAAUAAAAUACCAGAUGGAGAAUGGGACUGUUUAAUUUCCAGCACACAGAAGACACAUAACGGUUCUAGAAAGGAUGAACGCAGCGUCGGCUGCUGUCUGAGGCUUCUGUGUUCCUUUUCAAAAGCAGCCUGGGAAAUUUCUGCCAUUCUUUGAAAUUCAAGGCACUGGCAAAACUGCGGUCAGAUGUGAUGGAUUACGCAGCCAAUUUGCUUGAAGUUUGUGGUUCAUUAAUCCAGCUCUUUGAAAUUCAAAGAACUGAAGUGAUGUCAUUUGGAAUGUACAUCACACAAAAUUAAUGGGGUUCCUUGGUCAGAAGUGAGAAGGAAGACAAUGUGACGAGGGAAAAAAGGGGCUGGUGAGGGGUGGGAAGCCUGGUUUCCAAAGGGAGAAACUGCCUAGCCAUUCAGAGCCCCUCAUGGUCCCCCCACAUAGGCUUUGAGGGGACCCCGCUUUGUGGGGCAGCCUUGCCAGGAAUAAGAAAACACAAAGUGUUGCUUAUUCAAGCGGUUCCCCAGAAUUCCACAGCAGUAGCUGCUGUUAAAAGUUUUAGUCUGUCUGGUUCAAAUCAGCUGAUCUGACUGGU